GAUGAACGCUGGCGGCGUGCCUAAUACAUGCAAGUCGAGCGAACAGACGAGGAGCUUGCUCCUUCGACGUUAGCGGCGGACGGGUGAGUAACACGUAGGUAACCUACCUAUAAGACUGGGAUAACUUCGGGAAACCGGAGCUAAUACCGGAUAAUAUUUCGAACCGCAUGGUUCGAUAGUGAAAGAUGGCUUUGCUAUCACUUAUAGAUGGACCUGCGCCGUAUUAGCUAGUUGGUAAGGUAACGGCUUACCAAGGCAACGAUACGUAGCCGGCCUGAGAGGGUGAUCGGCCACACUGGAACUGAGACACGGUCAAGACGCCUACGGGAGGCAGCAGUAGGGAAUCUUCCGCAAUGGGCGAAAGCCUGACGGAGCAACGCCGCGUGAGUGAUGAAGGUCUUCGGAUCGUAAAACUCUGUUAAUAGGGAAGAACAAACGUGGAAGUAACUGUGCACGUCGUGACGGUACCGAAUCAGAAAGCCACGGCUAACUACGUG
rnacentral:rRNA from 1 species